CCCGUCGGCUCUAAGGUAAACAAAAAGAGAAAAAACUUCUCAAGCCCUAUCCAAGUGGAGUUCCUUCCUUCACACGAGAGACUCUCUCGAUUUCCUCUAGUCCGCACGAUUUCUCUUUUCUUCAAGCUGAUUCCUUCCAUUUCCUAAGCUUAAGAUCCCAACCGAAGUUCUUCAAGGAAAGCGAUUUUGAGAUUAUUUUCAAGAUUCGAUGAACCUACUAAUAAAGCAUCAAGGUAUGGAUGAAGAGGCUGUGGAGCCAGGCACUACUGAGGAGGGAGGUGCCGAUUCUUAGAGUUCCCCUGUCGAUUCGACUUUUGAUGAUAAUGGUUUAUGUUUUUUUUUUUAUGUUUUAUAGUGGGUCCCGUGUUGGGAUGUUUUGUUGGAUUAACUUUAAGACAAUUUAUCUUUUGGGUAUGUUGUAAAUACUAUGGUGGGGUGAUGGUAACCCCACAUACGAUAGUUUAACACCCUUUUGUAUGUGUUGCAGGGACUGAGUCCCCUCUUAUUAGAACUAGUUAAGUUUGAAUGAAUGAAUGUUAGACUCUAAGAUU